rnacentral:lncRNA from 1 species
GUUGCAUUGUUGUUUUUUGUGUCUUUAUCGAUACGGGUACAUGUAUCUGACGUUCAGUAAUUGUCGUUUGUUGAUGUAGUUUCUCGUUUUAAAAAAAAUAAGACCGUUGGUUUUCCCGUUUGAAUGGUUUUACAAAAGUUUAUUUCGGCGCCCUUUAUAACUUACUGUUCGAUGUGAGCCCAGGCUCCGUGUUGAAGACCGUACUUUGGCCUAUAAUGGUUU